rnacentral:lncRNA from 1 species
UUUUUUUUUUUUGCUUUUUAGGGCCGCGCCCAUGGCAUAUGGAGGUUCCCAGGCGAAGGGUCAAAUCAGAGCUGUAGCUGCAGGCCUACACCACAGGCACAGCAGCUCAGGAUCCAAGCCAAGUCUCCAAUGUAUACCACAGCUCUUGGCAAUGCCAGGUCCUUAACCCACUGAGCAAGGCCAGGGAUCAAACCUACGUUCUCAUGGAUGCUAGUCAGAUUUGUUAACCACUAAGGCACGCUGGGAACUCCUAAAACUUUACUAUUUUAUUUAUUUUUAUGUUAUGUUACAUAUAUUUCAAGAUAUAGACCAAAAAUCAACUCCUUCAUGAGAAUUUCUCUGGUCACAUUGCUCACCUGUGCAAGCUGAACCAACCUUUUUCUCUCAUGAUACAUAUCACCUCUGAUACCGGAAUCUUUCAAAAAGAUUUGGGGUGGGGCUACAUAAUGUUUUAUUUGUUUUUAAAUUUUUUAGUAUUUAGGAGAUAAGUAGCCAGAUAUUAUUUCCUCCUCCUUACAGAGUGUGAUGUUUGAUGGGUUUCAGAAAUAUAUAUGAUAAAGGGGAAAAACACUAACAAACAAUGACAGUGGAUACAAUUUUUUUUCCCCAGAAUUCAUAUGAUGAAUCAUGUGAUUAUACCUAAGAGUCAUGGUGCCAUCAGUUUUUGCCAAUGAUAGUAUCUUCCUUUGUUAAAAGUGUCUGAAUCCCCUCUUUAAAAAACUGAAUGUUUCUUGUUUGCAUUACCUUUAUGUUUAUCUGUGCUAAAGAUAACUAUGCUGGAGCACAGAGAACUAGGAAAAAAUAUACCUUAGAUACACUAUUUACAUCUCUACUGGAGUGCCCAUUUAUAGGUUUGUUCUGUUCCUGUUGGUAAUGAACUUCAGACUAUCGCCUCUCCAUAUUUUUUAUCAGAAUGAAUCAGAACAUGAAUUUUAAAUACAACUGAUAAUUUUUCUGUCAGGAAAAAACAUUAAGCACUAGAGAUUCCCAAUAACAUGUUUCUAUUACAUGAUACUCAACAUUCAGAACAAAACUCUCACAUAAUCUAAUUAUGCCUAUGCAAGCAGCCAUUUUUUUGAGAUAUUAGUGAAGAAUACAGAAGUAAAUAAAAGAUGUAUAAAAGAAAAAUAUCAGAGAAAAGAGAGAAGUAGGAACAGCAGCAAAGCAUUAAAAAUGAUGGUGGUUGACAAAGACUAUAGAAUACUCUGAUUUGCUAUUUAAAAGAUUAUCUCUCUAGAUACCCCUUCUUUUGAUGUUACUGGAACAGCCUCGUCACUACUCAUCUCAAAUUAUUUUUAAUUAGCCACUUUGUACACAAUGUUAUACAAGAUAGCCAUACUUAAAAAACAGCAAACAAACAGAGAUCCUAAGGAGAUUCUUAAGUGAACUUUAUUAGUAUAAAAUGUAGGCUACAAAUUUAAUAGUCUAUUUAGCUUCAUCAUGCAAUUUUUUUUAACUUACUACAGUGUAUCCUGUAUACUUCAAUUUCUUCCUGAAUUGAUUAUCUGAAAUAGGAGAUAUUUUUAUUUUGUGAAAUUAUCACGUGUAUUCACAUUUGUAUUAUAAAAAUAAUAUUGGCUGCUACAUCCAAUAUGUAAUUAUUAGUCUUUGUUAAGAGAACACCUAAGUUUAUUCUUCUCAAAAACUCAAUGUAGAUAUUUUUACUUCCAAUCAAUAAAGAAUCUGAGGCUUAGCUUAAACUCCUAUUCAAGAUCCCAUAAGUAUUAGUAGUAGACUUUAAUUGUAGAAUUUAAUUAGAAGAGAAUCUGUUUUAUAUAUAGGUACUUAUUAAUGUUUGUUUAAUAAAUGAAGAAAAAAAUGAGUGCUAAUCUCAUGUAUCAGUUUUAUUUUUAUCUCUGAUUCUUUGAUAUAUUUUGAUUAUUAAUUCUAUCUGCCAAAUACAUGAUAUGAGAAAUUGCCUCAUUUCACAGACCAUACUUUGAUUUCAAUGCUACACUGCACAUAUAUGAGAUGGUACUCUGCAAUAUUUUUUUCUAGCAGAAGAUCUAAAGUUUAAUGGAAUUAGUUUGCAAUUCAGUGUGUAAUUCUCAAAAAGCUUAAGGUUAUACAUUGUUAAAAUUCAAUAACUAUAAUAUAGUAAAAUUAAAAUGGCCAUGGAUUUUCAAAAGCCAUUGUCUAAUUACUGAAAUGUAAAUCUAACUCAAUAAGUGAUGACUAACAGGUGUCAUCAACUCUACACUACUUUUUAUAUUUCAGAGCUUUAGAAAUGAAUGGAAUAUUAGAAGACAGAUGAUUUGGUCUCUAAUAUAAUGUAAUAAUCCUUCUAAAAUACUCUUGACAGGAGUUCCCAUCAUGGAUCAGUGGAAAUGAAUCUUACUAGGAUCUAUGAGCACACAGGAUCCUGGCCUCCCCUCAGUGGGUUAAAGAUUUGGCAUUGCCAUGAGCUGUGGUAUAGGUCGCAGAUGCAGCUCAGAUCCUGAGUUCCUGUGGUUGUGGUGUAAGCUGACAACUGUAGCUCUGAUUCGACCUGCAGCCUGGAAACUUCCAUAUGCCAUGGUUGUGGCCCUAAAAAAAAAAAAAUGAAAAUAAAAACAAAAAUAAAAAAUAAAAUACUCUUGACAGGUGUCCAGUUAAACACUGAUUGAACACUUCCACUGAUAAGGAACUCACCACUUUGUAAGGCAAUGUAUUCCACUUAAAAGUAGCCAUUGUUCUUAGGUUUUCAUGUCUCAGUUCACUGCAAGUUUUAUUUUAUAGCCAUUAUUAUAAUUACUAUAUAUUUCUUCUGCAAAUUCAAACAUAAUAGCAUACUAUAUUAAUUUAAAAUUAUCCUUACUGGUUUUAAUUUUAAUUUAAACAACAUUUAAUCUAGAGCCCUAAUAUUCUGAGGUAAUUUACCUGCCUCAAGUCUUCCUAAAAUGUACAAGUUUGACCCAAUGAAAAUUGUGCAGUCAACAUUCCACUUGCUCACUAUUUGGAAAAUAUAUGAUAAAAAUAAAAAUUGCAGCAUUCUUUAUAGUCAUUACAAAUAUAGAAGUGUUCCAAAUAUCUAUAAACAGAAAAUGGCUUAUUGAAUUAUACUGAACCAAUGGACUAAUGGUAUAGAGAACAUGAAUUUCAUCUAUCUAAUAAUAACAAAUAUAAGAUACAGUCAUGGAGUAUUGGAAGUUAUGGAAUCAUAUGGGCACUAUGAUAACUUCUUCACUUUUUAUUGUGGUAAAAUACACAUAAAAUAAAAUUUAUCAUUUUAACCAUGCAUAGUACAAUUAGUGGUAUUAAGUACAUUCAGUGUUUUGUAACCAUCAACAUAUUAACAUAUUUUAUGUCUUAUAAAAAUGUUAUAAAUGUGUACUUGAAGAGUUAAAUAGUAGGCAGAAAGAUGUAGCUUAACUUUCUCUUGGAAUACAGGAUCAAAGAAAAAAUAUGUGAAAAAGUUGAAACAUGAAAAAAGAUCUAGAAAUUAUUAAUUCCAAAAGAAAAAUAUUUAGAAAUCUCCCUUUGUUGAACAAAGAGCCAAGUCCAUGAAGGAAAAAUGUCUGUGGAAUAACGAACAAAAUGAAUAAAUGAUGAUAUCCAGAAUAACUAUUAUAAAAUUUCAGAACUUGAAUAAGGCAAAUGGAGCAUCUCCAGAAUAUAAGUUUCACAAUGGCUGAUACCUUCUUUCUUAUUGUUCACUUUUCUUUCUCCAAUUGAAAGAAGAGUACGUAAUUUAAAUGCUUCUUAAUAAAUUUGUUUAAUGAUAAAGGAAUAAAGAAAUGUUUCAGGAGUUCCCUUCAUGGCUCACCAGUUAAUGAGCCCGACUAGGAUCCAUAAGGAUGCAAGUUCAAUCCCUGGCCUUGCUCAGUGGGUUAAGGAUCCGGCAUUGCUAUGAGCUGUGGUGUAGGUCACAGAAGAGGCUUGGAUCAGGCAUGCUGUGGCUGUGGUGUAGGUCAGCGGCUACAGCUCUGAUUGGAUUUCUAGCCUGAGAACUUCCAUAUGCGAAGGGUGUGGCCCUAAAAAGCAGAAACAAAAAAAAAAAACAAAAACAAUGAAAUGAGUUUCAAACUGCCAUCCCCAAAUCUGGAAAGACAGAAUUCAGAAAGUGCCAGAUGAGAUCAACUUUCACUAAAUGGAAGCCAUUAGAAUCAUAAAUUUGUAGAAACACUUAUAUGGCAAUUUUGACAAAGUCCUGGUGACUGACUGCAAACUAACAUGACAGUAUAAAACUUCUGGGGGCCCAGUCUUAGAAAGGGGUCUACAUUUUCGUAGGUUUUGCCUCAAAGAACACUACCAUGUUCUCAUGUUGAAGAUUAAAGUUCCCUCAUAGCAAAGACCUAUUCUCCAGGGGAAAAAGAGUACAGUCUUAACACACCUAAAAGAAAGAGCAUUUAUACAACUUCAGUACUCUGGUCUUCGUGUUUCACCUCAGUGAAAUUAAUGUGCAGGUUUUUAAUGAAAACUCAAUUAAAACCAAAAUUCUAUUUAGAGAAUCUGAAUCUGUGAGAAAUAUGAAAUAAAACUGUGAGAAAUAUGAAGAGGUUUUUGAAAAAUAAAAUAAAGAGUAUUACUACAGGAAAUUAAAACCUAAUUUUUAAAAACAUAAAUUAUGCAGCAUGAUAAUGGAGUAUGGAUUCAUCAGAUUUUGUACUUAAGACUCAUUUGGAUCAGCGGAUGAAGAAUUAAACAAUACUGCUUCUGAGAAAAAUCAGAUAUAUAUUUGAAAAACACUUAUAAUCUAAUAUUCAAUACAAAAAUAAUUUUCAAGUGGAUAUGACAGCUAACUGUAUGAAAAUAAAAACCGGAGUUCCCGUUGUGGCGCAGUGGUUAACGAAUUCGACUAGGAACCAUGAGGUUACGGGUUCGGUCCCUGCCCUUGCUCAGUGGGUUAAAGAUCCGGCGCUGCCCUGAGCUUGGUGUAGGUUGCAGACGCGGCUCGGAUCCCGCGUUGCUGUGUCUCUGACGUAGACUGGCGGCUACAGCUCCGAUAAGACCCCUAGCCUGGGAACCUCCAUAUGCCGGGGAAGCGGCCCAAAGAAACAGCAAAAAGAC